AUGACACUCACUCCCUCAGGGUUUAGUGAAGUGUCUUGCAGUGAAAAUGUCCCAACAAGAAGAGGAAGCAUCAUGGAGAGGCUAGCAGGCGCUGUGCUGGGGCUUCUGUUUGCCCAGGUUUGCUAUGUGCGAGGGGCCGAUGUGGAGCAGAGUCCCCCAGCCCUGAGUCUCCAGGAGGGAGCCAGCUACACGCUUCGGUGUAAUUUUUCCACUUCCUCACGGAGUGUGAACUGGUAUCUUCAGAACCCUGGGGGCCGCCUCAUCCAGCUGUUUUACAUUCCUUCAGGGACAAAGCAGGAUGGAAGAUUAAAGGCCACCACAGUCCCUGCAGAACGCCGCAGCUCGCUGCACAUUUCCUCUCCGCGGACCACAGACUCGGGCACUUACUUCUGUGCUGCGCAGCACGGUGCUCCCCGGGCACCUGCCGCCUCUACACGAACCUGCAGCCGAGGCUCCAGACACGCCCUGCUGUGUAGAUGA